CUCUCAUUCUACACACCACCAAGUUCUCUUUCCUCUCUUGAAGAUGUAGUGCUCCAAUGCAAAGGCGAGGCCUUGACUAGGCUAGUGCUUAGAGUAAGAGGAGGGUGAGGAGUAGUUCGGGGAAGCGUCGGGCCUGUCGGCGGUCUUCUCCGGUCUUGUACCUCUACGGAUACUGGCUUUCUUCAGUAUGAAUAAAAGUUGGAAGAAGCCAGGUAGCAGCCUGUAAGCAUCAAGCUGAUCCAAAUGUUGAUAUGGAUGAUGAUUCUAGAGUUAUUUUGGACUCAUUAGUGAUAAUAUAUCUUUGUUGUGAUGGUACAUUGUAUUGUUCUGGUAUCAUUGUGUAAUGAGCACAAUGUAAUGUUAUAUAUGGAUUUGUAAUGAAUGGAAUAGUCUGCAAUCAGAAUGCAAA